rnacentral:rRNA from 1 species
UACGUAGGGUGCAAGCGUUAAUCGGAAUUACUGGGCGUAAAGCGUGCGCAGGCGGUUGUGUAAGAACAGAUGUGAAAUCCCCGGGCUCAACCUGGAACUGCAUUUGUGACUGCACAGCUGGAGUGCGGCAGAGGGGAUGAAUUCCGCGUGUAGCAGUGAAAUGCGCAGAUAUCAGGAGGAACACCGAUGGCGAAGGCAGUCUCUGGGCAUUAACUGACGCUGAGGAGCGAAAGCAUGGG